GUUAAUACCGAAACAUAAGCAUAAACAGAACUUACAAUGAUUUACACUAGUGAUCUACAUCUCUUUUAAAUCUCUCAGUGUAAUGUCACUUCACUUCGUCACCUGUGAUAUACAUAAACUGAGUGGGUCAGGUUGGGAAACCUGGUGAGUACAUAGGGUUUUCAACCCACAAUAAUAUAAUUAUUAUGUUCAAUCAAACAAUCAACCCAAUUACCCAUCCCCAUUAUCUUCUUUACUCUUUAAGGAUUUAACCUAAGAGUCAUCUAUCCUGCAUUCGUUUAUUCCGAAGUCCCUUACUUCCAGGGUUAUGGGACUGGCACUAAAUCCAUAGCUGCCAAUGUUCGUUCAUAAAGCACUAAUUCCAUAGCUGCUAUAGUCUAUUCAUCGGGUACUAAAUCCAUAGCUACCAGUCUUUAUCUAAUAGGUACUAAGUCCAUAGCUACCAAUGUUCAACAGGUACUAAGUCCAUAGCUACCAAUUCCUACAGGUACUAAAUCCUUAGCUACCAGCGUCUAACUAAUAGGUACUAAGUCCAUAGCUACCAAUUCCCAACAGGUACUAAAUCCAUAGCUACCAACGUCUAAAAGGUACUAAGUCCAUAGCUACCGGUGUUUGUCCCAUAGGCACUAAGUCUAUAGCUGCCAAUGUAUACUCACGUCAUCUUCUAUCUCUCAUCAUUCAUCUACCCAUCUCAUACCCAACAUUUUCGUAUAUAUAAAAUACGUAUACAGUUUAAGUCCUUUAAAACAUGUAUAAAACGUUCAACCAGCAUAGACAGCAAGUAUUCAGAUAAUGUGCACACAUAGCACGUAGUUUAUAUAAAAUACUUCAUAUCUAUGUGUAAGAUGAAAGGGACUAUGCACUCACUUGAAAGGUGGUGAGUCGGCACUCGGACAGCACUUCGUUACUCUUAAAACAAUUAUCCCUUGACGAAACCUAGUAUCAUUACCACUAGAGUUUAGUCUAACGCUUGACGAGACUAAUUUAAUAGUCUAGCUAUUAUUACUAUUAUAUAAGCGUUAAAUAACACUCAAUAUAACUCAUAAUAAUAGCCUAAAUAAUUAUUUUAAGGUCCUAACAAUGUUACUAUAAUUAAAUAAAAUCUAUAUUAAAUAUACUAUAGGCGUAGCUCACUUACAGCGGGUUUUUAUUAAAAACCGGGCUUCGCUGGAGCAGCGUUUCCGAGCCGAAAGCUUUUCUUCUCGGAGCCGUCGGGCGCUCCGGGGCUCUCUUCUCGUGCUAGGGAGGUUCCGUAGACUUGGGAGGGGUUUAGGGAGGCUAGAGAGAAGUUAGAGAGAGAAAGAAAGGCUUAUGGUGUGAAGAAAAUAUGAGGAGUUCACCCUUGUAUUUAUAGGAAGUGUAUAGUAAAGUAGUCUCCAAGCUUCGUCCGUAACUUUUGC
rnacentral:lncRNA from 1 species